rnacentral:rRNA from 1 species
GACGAACGCUGGCGGCGUGCUUAACACAUGCAAGUCGAACGGAAAGGCCCUGCUUUUGUGGGGUGCUCGAGUGGCGAACGGGUGAGUAACACGUGAGUAACCUGCCCUUGACUUUGGGAUAACUUCAGGAAACUGGGGCUAAUACCGGAUAGGAGCUCCUGCUGCAUGGUGGGGGUUGGAAAGUUUCGGCGGUUGGGGAUGGACUCGCGGCUUAUCAGCUUGUUGGUGGGGUAGUGGCUUACCAAGGCUUUGACGGGUAGCCGGCCUGAGAGGGUGACCGGCCACAUGGGGCAUGAGGUACGGCCCAGACCCCUGCGGGGGGGAGCAGGGGGGAAUUUUGCACAAGGGGGGGAAGCCGGAUGCAGCAACCCCGGGUGCGGGAUGGCGGCCUUCGGGUGGUAAACCGUUUUCGCCUUGGACGAAGCGUGAGUGAAGGUAAUGGUGAAAAAAGCACCGGCAAACUACGU